rnacentral:rRNA from 1 species
AUUGAACGCUGGCGGCAUGCUUUACACAUGCAAGUCGAACGGUAACAGGGUGCUUGCACCGCUGACGAGUGGCGAACGGGUGAGUAAUGCGCCGGAACGUGCCGAGUAGUGGGGGAUAACGCAGCGAAAGUUGUGCUAAUACCGCAUACGUACUGAGGUAGAAAGUGGGGGACCUUCGGGCCUCACGCUAUUCGCGCCGCCGACGUCUGAGUAGCGAGUAGGUGAGGUAAAGGCUCACCUAGGCGGCGAUCAGUAGCGGGUCUGCGAGGAUGAUCCGCCACACUGGGACUGAGACACGGCCCAGACUCCUACGGGAGGCAGCAGUGGGGAAUUUUGGACAAUGGGCGAAAGCCUGAUCCAGCCAUGCCGCGUGUCUGAAGAAGGCCUUCGGGUUGUAAAGGACUUUUGUCAGGGAGGAAAUCCCUAGUGCUAAUAACACUGGGGGAUGACAGUACCUGAAGAAUAAGCACCGGCUAACUACGUGCCAGCCGCCGCAGUAA